UGAAGAGUUUGAUCAUGGCUCAGAUUGAACGCUGGCGGCAGGCCUAACACAUGCAAGUCGAGCGGUAGAGAGAAGCUUGCUUCUCUUGAGAGCGGCGGACGGGUGAGUAAUGCCUAGGAAUCUGCCUGGUAGUGGGGGAUAACGUUCGGAAACGGACGCUAAUACCGCAUACGUCCUACGGGAGAAAGCAGGGGACCUUCGGGCCUUGCGCUAUCAGAUGAGCCUAGGUCGGAUUAGCUAGUUGGUGGGGUAAUGGCUCACCAAGGCGACGAUCCGUAACUGGUCUGAGAGGAUGAUCAGUCACACUGGAACUGAGACACGGUCCAGACUCCUACGGGAGGCAGCAGUGGGGAAUAUUGGACAAUGGGCGCAAG
rnacentral:rRNA from 1 species